rnacentral:rRNA from 1 species
CAGUAAUCCUCCUUUGCCCUAAAGAUUAAGACAUGCAAAUAUAAAGGCCGCCCCUCGCACGGGUGUCCUGGUGGAUUGCUCCAUAAAAAAUUACUAGGCUACUCGAUUGUGAGAAUCUAAACGGAAUAUCUUUUGUAACCAACAGCUAAUACGGCAGAAACUGUCUGUGUUUUACUACGCAGGCUGCUCAUGUUAGUUUAAACCAACCCGGCAACGGAUUUGGCGAGUCACAACAUCUAGCGUCGGACAUGCUUUAUGCGGUCCGGAAUCGAUUGCGGUUUUUCCCUAUCAGGUUUCGAUGGUAGUGUAUUGAACUAUCAUGCCGUUGACGGGUGACGGGGGUUUUGGGACUGACUCCGGAGAAAAAGCCUGAGAGACGGCUUUUAGACCUAUGGGUUGCAGCAGUUACGUAAAUUAUCCCAUGCGCCUCGCGCGAGAUAGUGACAGGGAAUAUCAAAGCGGGACUCUUCGAGUCUUGCUGUUGGAAUGAGAACAAAUUAAAACCUUUAGCGAGGAUCAAUUGGAGGGCAAGUCUGGUGCCAGCAGCCGCGGUAAUUCCAGCUCCAAUAAGGAACAUUAAAUUUGUUGCAGUUAAAAAGCUCGUAGUUGAAUUUCUGCGCGUCGUCGCUCGGCCGCACGGACGAAAGUUCUUGCGCGUUCGGGCCGCGCGCAUGCUCGCGUUGACCCUGGUCCGUUCAUUCGGUUCAGCGGAAGGCGCGUCUUUUACUGUGAACAAAACGAAGCGUUCAUGGCAGGCUUUGAGCUUGAACGAAUCGCACGGAAUAAUGAAAACGGCCUCGCUCGUUUUCGUUGGUUCGCGAAUGGGGUUAUUGGUUAACAGGAACAGUUGGGGGUAUUCGUACUUCACGCUAGAGGUGAAAUUCUUGGAUUGUUGAAUGACGAACGACUGCGAAGGCAUUUACCAAGGAUGUUUUCAUUAAUCAAGAACGAAAGUUUGGGGAUCGAAGAUGAUUAGAUACCAUCGUAGUCCAAACAGUAAACGAUGCCGACUCGGGAUCCGAGCGUGUUGCUUAUGACCGCUCGGGCACCGUAUGAGAAAUCAAAGUCUUAGGGUUCCGGGGGGAGUAUGGUCGCAAGGCUGAAACUUAAAGGAAUUGACGGAAGGGCACACCAGAGGUGGAGCCUGCGGUUUAAUUUGACUCAACACGGGGAAACUUACCAGGUCCAGGCAUGACGAGGAUUGACAGUUUGAAAGCACUUUCUUGAUUUUAUGGGUGGUGGUGCAUGGCCGUUCUUAGUUGGUGGAGUGAUUUGUCUGGUUGAUUCCGAUAACGAACGAGACCCGGACUGCUAAAUAGCGACCCGUUACAUUUUGUAGCGUUUGGCGCUUCUUAGUGGGACAACUCGGUUUUACCGAGCGGAAGCACCGGGCAAUAACAGGUCUGUGAUGCCCUUAGAUGUUCUGGGCCACACGCGCGCUACAAUGACGGGUUCAACGAGUUUUUUCCUUGCUCGGAAGGGCAUGGGUAAUCUUCUCAAUGCUCGUCGUGAUGGGGCUAGAUUUUUGCAAUUAUUAAUCUUCAACGAGGAAUCUCUAGUAUGUGCGAGUCAUCAGCUCGCGCAGAAUGCGUCCCUGCCCUUUGUACACACCGCCCGUCGCAGCUACCGAUUGGAUGGUCCGAUGAAAAGUUUGGAGAUGAUGUUGGCUCGCGAGGGCCGGCUUCGUCAAAGCUCUUGGAAUCUUAUCAUCUAGAGGAAGCUG